AGAUUUAGAGGCCAUAGCUUGGCUUGUAAAAUUGCCAGCAACUAUUUUACUUUUUAGAGAAAACGUAAAAUAUGUUGAAACACGAGGAGGUAGAGAGAUAGAGAGAAUGAAAUGCAGUAAUGAUAGAAUUACACACGAAAGGAAUGCAAUUUUCGAAAUUUGAUAGCAGAAUGACAAAAUGUGCGAUUGAUAACUUCAGAGUCUUUUAUCAGAUUUCCGCUGUUGUUAUGGGAGCGGCGAGCGGCAGGGGGUCACUGACGUCAUUUUCUUAGUGCGCCUGCGCCGGAGUGGAAAAAUUGGCGUGGGGCAGCGGAGAGUUGGCAACAAAAUUACGCAACUUCACUGUUCCACUGCACUAUAUGGUUCAAAAAAAAAAUAGGCCACAGAACACCAGAUAAAGCUCAAAAAAGUCAAAAACUUUGAGAAGAGUACCGAAAACAAAGCGAAAGUCAUCCAAACAGAGGAAAGAAAGAGGCUGAUGAUAACUAAACAAAACAAAAGUAGCCUUUUAGGCCUUUAAAAAGUCAAAAACUGCAGAGCAGUCUGAACACGUCCUUGCAGCUCAAGCGACUAUUCAUAUCCUUUAUCGCACGCAAGUAAUUUUAGUUCAGUUAGUGAUUUGAACCCUAGUUUUAAUCGAAAUUCUAAUCCUAAGAUUCAAGAUUCCUUCACGGCAAAUCUAAAUAAAAUUGAAAAUAAUAGUUCUGAUACACACUUUGAGCUCGUUCUUCCGAAACAUAGCAUUUAUAAGCCUUGCACCACUCAUAAGCCAAGCAUCUGUGAGCCUAUUACAACAGAACCUCAAAGUAUCUUUCAGGAUUCAACUUCAAUUUCAAAAUUUGAAAGAACAGAAAAUCAAAUCAAUGAAUAUAAUUCAAAUUACGAUUCAGAACUAUUGCUUAUUCAUCGAUAGUACACACUGUGGAAAACUUGACCGUAACUCUUGCAUCAACCCCAUGGAUAUCAUCUUCAAGGUAUUUAGGUCAUAGGGCUGUAGCACAAAUUUUCUCUUUAAUUCAUUCUUUCGAAGUAGUUAAAAAUGAACAUGUAAGGGUGUCAG
rnacentral:lncRNA from 1 species